rnacentral:rRNA from 1 species
UACACUCCUGCGGGAGGCAGCAGUGGGGAAUUUUGGACAAUGGGCGAAAGCCUGAUCCAGCCAUGCCGCGUGCAGGAUGAAGGCCUUCGGGUUGUAAACUGCUUUUGUACGGAACGAAACGGCCUUUUCUAAUAAAGAGGGCUAAUGACGGUACCGUAAGAAUAAGCACCGGCUAACUACGUGCCAGCAGCCGCGGUAAUACGUAGGGUGCAAGCGUUAAUCGGAAUUACUGGGCGUAAAGCGUGCGCAGGCGGUUAUGUAAGACAGUUGUGAAAUCCCCGGGCUCAACCUGGGAACUGCAUCUGUGACUGCAUAGCUAGAGUACGGUAGAGGGGGAUGGAAUUCCGCGUGUAGCAGUGAAAUGCGUAGAUAUGCGGAGGAACACCGAUGGCGAAGGCAAUCCCCUGGACCUGUACUGACGCUCAUGCACGAAAGCGUGGGGAGCAAACAGGAUUAGAUACCCUAGUAGUCCCAUGAU